rnacentral:lncRNA from 1 species
CACCUCUAGUCAUAACCACCCAGGCCCUGAUCUCCACACCACCAACCUAAUGCAGUCGCCAAAAGAACCCCAAACCGACCACGGUGAUGAUCAGCCCCCGACUCCUAAACAACAACAGCUGCCAGAAGAUCCACAACAAGAAGAGCCUGAAGAAGUACAAAAUGAACCCAUCAAAACGAGCAGUGAUGAAGAUGCAAUCGAAGAGCAUUUUCACUAUCUACAAUCCCCAUUAAGCUCUCCCCGAAAUAUUAUAAUUAACCAAGAAGAUCUUUUCACCGGGAAUCUAGUGAAAACCCACGACAACCUGGGGUUUCUGUUGGAUGAAGAGCCGCUGUCUUGCCCUCAUAUAACAACAUCUUCAACACCAAAAUCAGAAGAAAAUGAUUUCUUUGAUGAACUUGAAGAACUGCCCAUAUCUUCAGCUUUCACAAGUUUAAUGAGAAG